GUUUUUAUAAUUUAAUUUAAAAUAUUGGUCUUGUAAAUCAAAAAUAAGAAUUUUUCUUUAAAAACU
rnacentral:tRNA from 1 species